AGUGAACGCUGGCGGUAGGCCUAACACAUGCAAGUCGAACGGCAGCACAGUAAGAGCUUGCUCUUACGGGUGGCGAGUGGCGGACGGGUGAGGAAUACAUCGGAAUCUACUUUUUCGUGGGGGAUAACGUAGGGAAACUUACGCUAAUACCGCAUACGACCUACGGGUGAAAGCAGGGGAUCUUCGGACCUUGCGCGAUUGAAUGAGCCGAUGUCGGAUUAGCUAGUUGGCGGGGUAAAGGCCCACCAAGGCGACGAUCCGUAGCUGGUCUGAGAGGAUGAUCAGCCGCACUGGAACUGAGACACGGUCCAGACUCCUACGGGAGGCAGCAGUGGGGAAUAUUGGACAAUGGGCGCAAGCCUGAUCCAGCCAUACCGCGUGGGUGAAGAAGGCCUUCGGGUUGUAAAGCCCUUUUGUUGGGAAAGAAAAGCAGCAGGUUAAUACCCCGCUGUUCUGACGGUACCCAAAGAAUAAGCACUGGCUAACUUCGUG
rnacentral:rRNA from 1 species